CUGCCUUCCAACAAAUACUAAAGGAAGCCCUUCAGGCUGAAAUAAAAGGACACUAGAUGGUAACUCAAACCCAUACAAAGAAAUAAAGAGCACUGGAAAAGGUAAAUACAUAGCUAAAU